CUGAGACAGGGUGGGCCUAAGAAAUUAAAUAUUCAAUUCUUCAAGGAUAUACAAGCACGUAUGAGAGAUCCAAAUUACAAGUUUUCACCUGAGUUAAAGUUGAAACCUAAGAGCAAAUUGGUUUCAAGAAAGAAAUGGCAAAAAGCCCAGUCUAGACGGAGGAAAGCGCAGAAGCGCUAGUUGUUACUUUUCAACUCUUUGACUUUCCAAAAACAUACCUGUAUAUUUUCUGACUGGUGGGAUUUUAUAUAUUUCUUGCUAUAUUGUAUAACAUGAUAGAUAAUAUUGGCUUAUAUUGUUUUUUUGAUAGGAAACCACGCAUGAAUAUAUUGAUAGAAAAAAAAUAGUACAUAAGGAGGAUGAGAAAUCCUCCCGCCAAAGGUAAAACUAAACAACACAAAAAAAUAACAUGACACUACACCGUCCCGUUGGAACUACACACUAUUAGCCAAUCUAGUUGUAAAACGUUAAGAGGAAUGCCCUUAAAACCCGCUGAGCAAAAAGCCAAAAACGAAGCGAGGAAAUGAAUGGAGUUCCAAAGAUUCUUUGAAUUCCUAGCUUUGUCCUCAAAUAUCCUAUCAUUUCUUUCCCGCCACACAACCCAAAUUAAAGCUAUGCAUGCGUUUUGCCACAAAACCAACCCUCUCUUGGAUUUGCCAAAACCUUUAUAAUUGAUGAACAUCAUGUCUAAAAUGCUUUUCGGAGGAACCCAAUCCAUCUUGGCUAGCUGAAAUAGUCUGUGCCACAACCCCAACGUCACAGAACGAUGAAGGAAGAGAUGAUUUGUUGAUUCUCCUUGCUCCAUACACAACUUACAAAUGUUAGGGCUAAGAGCUUUGCGGGGUCUCCUCAAUUGUAGCAAGUCAUUGGUAUUUACCUUCUUGUGUGCCACAAGCCAGACAAAGGCCUUAACUUUGAAGGGGACUUGAGAUUUCCAUACAAACUUAGUGGGGGAAAAAAGGAGAUGAAUUAGGCAUUUGGGACAAGGCUGGAAAGAAAGACUUGACUGUAAACAAUCCUGAAGACAAUAAGGACCAAGAUCUCGCAUCUGAAGCGGAAAUGGAUAAAUUCAUACAAUCAAGAGAACACAUGAGGCGUUCUAGAUCUUCUAUCUCAGAAUCGGUUAGAUUACGACGAAAAUUAAAGUUCCAUGAGAAAAGGCGAGCCGAACCAAGAAUUGAAGAUAUAGGAAUAUUUUUAUCCGUUACUAUUCUAAAUAGUCUUGGAUAUUGGUCUUUGAAGAUUUGGUCCCCCCACCACAAAUCUUCCCAAAAGCGAAUUCUUUCCUCAUCUCCUACAACAAACCGAGUAUAUUUGGAAAAAUCCUGAAAGACUUGUGCAAUGGCCUUCCAAGGACAACAAUGUGACCACUUGACUAAAGUGUUGGCAUCCCAACCAUUUGAGUGUCCCAGUAGAUGCUAUGAAUGACCUAAUGCUACAGAGCUGUACUCUCCCUGGGAAAUCUCCACAACCAUUUCCCUAAAAGAGCGCAAUUCCUUAAAGGAAUCUUCCCAAUCCCUAAACCCCCUUUUACCCUCGGCUUACACACUGCAUCCCAACUAACAAAAUGGUCUCUUUUACCUUCCCCAACCCCUGACCAAAGAAAGUCCCUUUGCAUCCUCUCAACUUUUGCAGCCACUGAAGCAGGAAUCUUAAACAGAGAAAGAAAGUAGCUAAGGAUAUGGGAUAGACAUGAGUGUAGAAGAGUUAUCCUACCACCGAAAGAUAAGUAAGCCUUUUGCCACCUGUCUAAUCUCCUAGAGAUUCUCUCAAUCACUGGAUCCCAGAAUCCACAAGCAGUAGGAUUCCCUCCCAAAGGAAGACCCAGAUAGGCCAAUCUGAAGCCUUGCAGUCAAGCAACAAGGCUAACCUAAAGAGAUGAUUCUGAUCAAGGUUGAUGCCAAAAAGAUUACUCUUAUCAAGAUUGACCUUAAGCCCAGAAACUUGACCAAACAAUAACAAUAAACUCUUAAGAGUUUGUAGUUCUUCCUCACUAGAGCUAGCAAAGAGGAUGGUAUCGUCUGCGAAUUGCAGAUGGGAUACCCUACACCUAUUUCUACCUACCCUGAAGCCCUCUAGCAAACUUCUUUCCUCAGCUUUCAACAACAUUCUACUCAACACAUCUGCAACAAUAGUGAACAGGAAAGGGGAUAAAGGGUCACUUUGCCUUAAACCUCUAGAUGCCUUGACCCACCCUUUAGCAUUACCAUUCACUAGAAUAGCAUAAAAGGCCGACGACAGACAUCCUCUCAUCCAUUUCCUCCAUUUAGAACUAAAUCCCUUCUUCUCCAACACAUGAUCCAAAAAAUCCCAUUUAACAUGGUCAUAAGCCUUUUCAAAGUCUAUCUUGAAUACAACUCCUUUCUCUCCUGAUCGUCUUUUCUCGUCUACAAUCUCAUUGGCUAUAAGAACUGCGUCCAGAAUUUGUCUCCCUUUAACAAAAGCACCUUGAGUGGAGUGGAUGGUCUCCUGUAGUACUCCUCUUAGUCGCCCUGACAAGACUUUUGCUAUUACCUUAUAGAGACAAGUGAUCAGGCUGAUAGGUCUAAAAUCUGAAAUCUUCUUUGACUAGCUCUUUUUGGGCAAAAGAACUAUGAAGGAGGCAUUGGUGUUUUGAUUAAUAAUCCUGCUAUUGUGAAACUUUGCAAACACCCUUACUAAGUCAUCCUUGAUCACAUCCCAACAAUCCUGAAACACUGCUAUGGUGAAACCAUCGGGCCCCGGCGCCUUAUUCCUAUCUAACUGAAAGAUGGCAUUAUAGAUCUCUACUUCGAAGAAAGGGGAAUCCAGCUUAGAAGCACUCUUUUCUGAUAUAGGGGACCAAUCAAUACCUUCUACUCUCCAAGACUCACCAGGAUGACUCAAGUAGAGCUUUUUGAAAUAAUGUAAUAUCUCCUUUGUGAUGCUGUCGAAAUUGUCCAACACCAAACCACUUUCAUUCUCCAAGAAUUUGAUGAAAUUCAUGUUUCGUCUCCCGUUAGCCACUUUGUGAAACAACUUUGAGUUGCAAUCCCCGUCCUUAACCCAUUUUACUUUAGCUUUUUGUCUCCAAUGAAUUUCUUCCCUCAUAAUUAUUUCCUCUAGCUCCCCUUUUCUUACAGCUCUUUGAACAGCGAGAUCAAAAGAGAGAGCCCCUUCUUGUUCAUUGGCAUCAAUGUUAGCUAUUUCAUCCAAGAUGGUUUUUUUCCUUUCCUUAAGCAUUCCAAAAGUAUUCUUAUUCCAAUCUUUCAAUUUUGCGUUAACAAAUUGUAACUUCCUCAUGAACUUGUGACCUUCCCAACCAUUUCCUUCAAAUUCUCUCCACCAACUGCUAAAGCACUCUUUGAAACUAUGAUGUUACAACCACAUAUUCUCAAACCUAAAAGGUGUAGGACCCCACUUGAAAGGAUUGGUAUCCAAUACAAUCGGCCAAUGAUCCGAUGUCCAUCUAGGAAGAACUUCUUGAAGGCUUUGAGGGAAUGAAAGCUCCCACUCAUUUGAAUAGAGAAACCGAUCCAAUCUCUUACACACCGGUAACUCUUGCAUAUUUGACUAAGUAAAAGAGGCAUUUCGUAAUGGGGGAUCAUGUAAUUCAUGUUCUCUUAUAAAGCCAUCAAAAUCCCUCAUGCUAGAAGUGAAUCUAGAGCCACCCAGUCUUUCUAAUCUUCUCCUUAUAACAUUGAAGUCACCUCCCACACACCAUGAAGGAAAAGUAAGGCCAAAAAGGUCUAACAACUCCACCCAAAAAUCCUUCCUAGUUAAGGGGCUGUUUAGACCAUAAACUGCAGACAACCACAAAGGUCCACAUCCAUCCAUCAAGAACUUGACUGAGACAGAAAAAGAUCCAAUUACCACGUCCUCACUGCUCAUUUUCUUUGAGUCCCAAAUGAUUAAAAUUCCUCCUGAAGCCCCGCACGCCGGGAGAACAGCCCACUCCUUAUUUCUAACCAACCAGACACUUCCUACAAACCUUCUGUUGCACACCUCUCUUUUUGUUUCCUGAAACAUCACUACAUCCGGAUUCUGAAGUAGCAAAAAAUCCUUAACCACUCUUCUCUUUUUCCUAGAUCCCAACCCCCUGAUAUUCCAGCUUAUGAUCUUCAUAAAAACACCUCACUGACCCUAUACCUCCUAACCAACGCCAACAGAACUCAAAUGUCUAUGGCAAUUCUAUUCUUUCGCCUUGAAUACACCUUAAUAUCCAAGGAACUUAAGACCUCACAAACUUUAGCCAUUUUGCUAGGGGAAAGACCUUCAGUUUGGAACCCACCCAUCUAGGAGAACUCAGUGUCUCCCUGUCUAACUGUACCCAGAAUAGGGGCCCCAUGAGGCGAGCUGGGUUUGGUCUUAUCAUAAUUAAAGCUUUCAGACACAAGAUUCAAUCUAGCCAACCGGGGCACCGCAUCAUCACGGUUAGGAAUGCCAACAAACCCAAGACGAUAAGCCCCAAUAUCAUCUUUUUUUGAAAAAAUUUCAGAGAACACUCAAUUUUUCGUAAGAAUUUGGGAUUGAAAGGCUGGAAUGGAGAGAUCGAUAGCAGAAGAACUCGGGUAUGGAGGAGCCACGCCAGAGAAAGGAGAAUGAAAAGGCAGAGAAGGUUGAGAAAAAUGAUGAGAAGAAACCUCAAAGUUGAGCCCUUUUUCUCUAGUUGCGGGAUAAGAAAGAUGAUCUGUGACUGAAGAUCCACUAUGAGAACAACCCACAAAACAUUUAAAACCUGCUUCGUCUCCUUCUUUAGCAAUAUUGCACAUUUUCUCCUUCCCUUUUGACUGCAAAGGAGCCCUAAGAAGAUUCCUUUGCUUUGCGUUUUCCUUCGUCGGCGUCAUUCCUUCCUCGGAACACCCUUGACCCAACUGUGUUCCCGCUUUGGAGACGUCUUCCAAUGGAAGAGUAUCACUAACUGGCGUCGAUCUCUCAAUCGUGAGUGGCUCGCUUCGGCUUCGAUCUCCUUGUCGGCAUACAGAGCUUGAUGGAAAUAGAGCAUUCCACAGCUUCCUUGAACCACACUUCAUCGUGGAGCCCCUCUGUUGAUUUUUAGGAUCCUCGUGGCCUGUCUUCGCCUUCCCUUUUGCAGAAAGAAUAAAUCUGUGUAAAGGGCCCUUCGAAUAUCUGUCUUGAUUGUCUCCCAUCUCUUGGCUCAACGACUAAAUCGGGCCUUUCCCAUGGACUUCCUUCUUCCAGCCCACAUCAAUUUGAGACCAUGGGCUGGGUUUACUAAAAGGAUGGGCUCUUGUCAUGUAUUUGGAGGCCCAAAACCCAUCCUGGAGAGUUGACUGGGCUUUGACCCUUCUAGCCUGCUUUGGCCCAACAGAUCCAGCUCUCUGCCUUUUUUAAUUCGAAUGCAGUGGAGGUUGGGACCAGCUGUUCCCCAUUGACGUCCUGUUCUUUCCACGUGUCCUCCUAGGAGCGUUCUCAGCCUUUUGACCACCUCUCCACUCCAUUGUUCUGCCAACUGCCCCAACCAAAGACCCUUUUCCAGCCGUUGAUCUAUCUUCCUCUGCCCUUUUUCUGCCAACUGUCCCCGUGUGAGCCUCAGCCAAUUGCCGAGUUGACUCACCCAUCUCUCUAACUUGACUACCGUCUUCCUUCCCGGCCACUGCGACUGAAACUGUGAAGUCCCAACCCCCAUCUAACACCUCAAUCAAAGCUGGGAGAAUCGAUCGUUCUUUCAUUACCACUUUCACCCUCACUUUGCUUAGAUAAAAAAGUUUCAAUGUUCACCAAUCGAUCUCUGUCACCGUCCCCCAUUGCUCCAUAAUUUUCUUCAAGUGAACCUCAGACCAUAAAUGAAAUGGUAAACCCCUUAAAUCUAUCCAACCUUCCUUGAACUUCCCCUCUACUUCUGAAUUUUCCUUUGGCAACCAUCUUCUCAACAAGGCUGUAAUUCCGCCCUUAAUCCUGAUGAACCUUGAAUUGUGUAGUGAUAAAGCUUCCUCUAAUGUUUCUACAAAAACAAUCCUUUUCCUCCGGCGAAUGGGACGAUUGUCACCACGUCUUUGUGCCCCAGCCUUCUCGCCAUAGCCCGGCUGACCUCAGCCCAGUUAAUAGCACCAUCUUGACAUUCGCACACCAUAACCCUCGCCCAUCUCCCAACUGGAACAAGGCCGCCUUUCCUCGGACCUUCGUCUCUGACUACAUUAGCAAAGGACCGUUGCAAGGGACCCACAUUUUUGUGCAAAAUCCUUCCUUCCCUGCUCAGCCUUCCCUUUUCAUUAAAACUCGAGGAGGGGACCACCAACAUUGAAUACAACGCAGACUUUAAAAGUUCCCAUCCCCUGCCAUUCUCUCCCUCAGGUAUUACCAGAAAAGUUGACUUCCUGUUGGAGGCGAACUCUGAUAAUCUUAUAAACCUGCCAUGAAUAUUGAAGCAAACCUCCAGUAGAUGUACUCUGGUCUUUCCUCUAAAUUUUCUGUUGAAACCCAUAAAAAUCUUCAUCUUAAUGGCCUUUGUCAACUGUUCUAUCAACCAACUAACCUCCUCCUUCUCAAAGCCUAAGACGAAAAUAGAGCCUUUACUGUGCUCUGUUAUCGAACACCAUUGCCCUCCGACCUCACCCUCGAACCUAACCCGGAAGGUCUUCCUCUCCACAGAGACCUUCAAGGUCCUUACCAUUCUCUCUAUUUCUGUCACAAAUAUGGUGCUCAAUUAAUAGUAAAGAAGAAUAAUGAACAAGGUAGAGGUAUUCAAUUAUUGGCUUAUAUUGUUAUAGAGACAAUCCUUGACAUAGACAGAUUUUUGGCUUACAACUUUUUGUCCUUGAAUUAUUUUAUUUAUCCUGUUGUUUACUUUUGCAUGUUUGAUUUUCAAGUACUGUUGUCUGUUAGUAACUUUCAUAAACAAUUGCAACUUAAUUAAACAAUUUGGUACAAUGAGUACAUGCUUGGUUCCUUACUGUUCAAAUGCUGAAUUAUUUCCUUUUGGAUUUGGAGUAUACUAUCAUUUCUAUUUAUUCUCUAAGGAUUAGCUCUAUUUUAUGAUUUUCUUUAUUUGGAAAUCACAUGUUUUGCUUGUUUGUCUACUGGUUUAGUGAAAGCAUCAAGUACUUAGACUUUAUGCUCACCUUAAUUAAACAGUUUGACUUAAACCUCAUCAAACUCAAUCGGCCUGUGAUGGCCACAAACUUCAUCUUAGUAACCAAUUUGAUUGUGCUUGAUUAUAUUUAUUGAAAGUUAUAUGAGAUGAUUUGGACUGUUAACCAAAAUGCCUUUUACACAGAACCUUUUCUCUACCAGAAAAGGUGAUUGACAGCUUUGAGGUAUGCUUAUUUUCAGUUCCUGUUGUUGACUGUACAAAAUCUAGGAAGAAACUCGAGCAUUUAAGAAGGAAAGAUUUUCUCAUGAACAACCAUGGGCAUUUAGAAACCAAGUUUUACCAUCUAAAUCAUUACCCUUUAUAAUCAAGGAUAUAUUGGUGCUUGCAGAGGAAGGUAUAUUUGCCUGCCUGGAAAAGUCAUACCUGAGGAUUUUCUGUUCAUUUAGGAAUUCCUACUCCAAGAUUAGUGUAGAAAGGUAUUUGUGUUUGAUAUAACAUGGUUUUAAUUUGAUAAGUUUGUAAUGGUACAGAGGUUGUACUAUAGCAGUGGAUGAUAGGAGGAUAGUAAGUCCUAUGCAGCUCUUAAUUUGAGUUUAUAGGCAACGUUAUAUGAGUUCCUUAGUAAGCUAUAAUUUUUUUUUCUCAUAAAUUUUAAGAAAUCUCCAUAAGACAUUAGUUUCUGGAAAUUUCUACUUCUGAGUUUGGGGAUUUAGUAAAAUGUGCACCAUCUUUUACUGACUAGAAGGUAAAAAGCCACCAAUUUGUUCCUUCCAAUUGUCCUUAUUGAGUAAGAUCUCCAACUUUGGAUUUUCCUGAUAAUGAUUAGCAUUAAUUACACAAGGCCAGACCCAUUCUUCAAAGUAGUUGAGCCAGGGUCUUCCAGUAUUUUGUUCUUUUUUAUCCAUAACUUUUACCUGCCAGCUGCAGUAGUAUUCAUAUGGAAAACUUUUCUUUUAUUCGGUAUGAAAGGGAAACAGAUGAUGUGUUUCAAAGUAAAAAUACACACUUUUUGGUCAAUAUUCUUCCUUGUAAUUUAAUAGUUUUUGAAGAGAAAACUCAUGCUAUCCCUUUUAUGCUAUAUUUCUCACUAUCCAAAUGCCUUUUCAGAACCAUCACAGGAUAGGUUUCUCUGUUUUUUCCUCCCUUAUUUUUGAUACCUCCUCUAAGUUUCCGGCCUUUGAUAGCAAUGUCAGAAUUGCUUAAAUCUUACACAGAAGGAAACUGUACUUUGCAGGAAAUAUAAAACUUUUAAAUGGGAAAAGAUGAUAAGAAUUGUUCUGUUGCAAUAUAGCAUAGGGAAAAAGCAGAGGAUAAGAAAAGGUUGCAUAGAAUAGAAUGGGUUUUGGCUUCUGUAAAAUAGAAAGCCUCUGCAUAAUCUCAUCUGUGAACUUGCAGAAUACUACAAGGGGAUAGAGUGGACCUUAGGAACUCCCAUUUGAGGGGUGAGGGCACGCAGGGGGCAUAAAGCUUGAUCCCUCUAAGCAGUCUUCAUAAAGCUUUUUCAUCUGAAUUUAAACCAACUAGUUUUGUGGACAGUCAGUCCCUCAAACCAUAUGAAUCUCCAUGAGGGGAGGGUUCGUUGAUGGUGCUAUUUCUAGUUAUUAAUACCCUUCAAAAGUUAAAUAUUCUAGUAUGUUAGUGAAUAAGGAGAUCGAGAUGCCUUGGCUACUAGUCAUUAGAUCACAUUAUUUGUUUCCCUUUAUGAAGCAAACCCACAAGGUUUCAGUUGAGACUUGGGUUUUAGAUGCAAUACAUCACAUAACUUUUGCUAUGAAUGGUUUGGCAAUAAUCAUUCAUUUUGUUUGGUUCUUGUGUGAGAUUUGUUUGGUAAUGUAUCAAUCACUCCACUCUUAAGUGAAUAAAUCCCAAAAAGUUUGAAAUCAAAUAAACAAAGAUGAAAGAUUGUAAUCAAUGAACCAUCUGUUUGAGUACCUAUUUGAGUGUCGAUAUCGCUAAAGACAUCUUGUAAUCUGUCUACUUUUUCUCAUGACCGAGCUUGUAUUUUGCAUGACUACUGAAGUGUGGUUUUUCUGGCUACUAGUGAGGGUAUGGUGCAGAACUGAAAGUAUGGUGGUAAUAAUAAUCAUUAAUAGAAGGAAUUAGGGGAUUGAUGCAUAUAGAUGUUGCCAUUUAUUCGUUAGACGGAAACCCUGCAGAAAAAUCUUGAAAUUCGCUCCAUCCAUAACCUCCCAAGCCAACAAAACCAGCAGCAUUGACCUGAAAAUUCUCCAGACCCAUUAGCGUAUUGUCUGCAUCACCACCCAUAUACGCAUAUCUUUCCCCGUCCCGAACCUGCCCUGUUGCCAUUCCUAGUUCUGGUAGGGUUUGUAGGUUUGCCGCCAUCGAGUUUGAAAUUCUACCGCUAUCCAACAAAAUAAACGAGAGGAUGGCACAAAGGCUGUUCUCACGCCUUUCGCUCCUCCAAUCCCUCUGUAGAAUCCCUAAACCCCGUUUGGAACCAAGGUCUACAUUCUUAACCCUUUUCUCUUCCACUAAUCUCCUUUCGUGAUUUUAUUUUCUGAAAUCCCAUGUUUGGUGUUUCAGAUUAGAGGCUCUUUCUGACACAAUUACUUCAAGGAAUGGAGUCAAUCUAUGGGUUUCCCACAAUUUACAAGUUCUGCCUUCAUUCUUAGGUGAUUUUCUAUUAUUCAGUCACUGGGUUUUCUUGCAUGUGAAGAUUGUGAUUGGAGUACGUGUUGUGUAGCCCACGUGUUUGUUAAAAGUUCUCAGAGAAGAGGAGACAUCUUUACUGUAUAUUUUAGCUUAUUCUUGCCAGUAUCCCACGUCUGCCUUAAAUUCAUCUCCAGCUUCUUCCACUUGGCUGCCCUAUUUAACCGUCUGGAAGCCACGAUUCUUGUGUGUAGUGCAGGGCUGCUGAACUUUUUCAUGAGAUUUGAGCAGUCAUAUAAUAUGUAUACCUUGAUUUGUUGAUGAACUAAAAUUAUUCGGUGUAAUUUUAAUCAUUGUAGAGUGAUUCUGUGUUAUAUAUUCUAAUUUUUUACUUUUUCNNNNNNNNNNNNNNNNNNNNNNNNNNNNNNNNNNNNNNNNNNNNNNNNNNNNNNNNNNNNNNNNNNNNNNNNNNNNNNNNNNNNNNNNNNNNNNNNNNNNNNNNNNNNNNNNNNNNNNNNNNNNNNNNNNNNNNNNNNNNNNNNNNNNNNNNNNNNNNNNNNNNNNNNNNNNNNNNNNNNNNNNNNNNNNNNNNNNNNNNNNNNNNNNNNNNNNNNNNNNNNNNNNNNNNNNNNNNNNNNNNNNNNNNNNNNNNNNNNNNNNNNNNNNNNNNNNNNNNNNNNNNNNNNNNNNNNNNNNNNNNNNNNNNNNNNNNNNNNNNNNNNNNNNNNNNNNNNNNNNNNNNNNNNNNNNNNNNNNNNNNNNNNNNNNNNNNNNNNNNNNNNNNNNNNNNNNNNNNNNNNNNNNNNNNNNAACCUAGUAUCAAAGCCUAUUUUGUAAGGAGGUCAUGUGUUCAAGCCCCACCGCAUAUUUAUUUCCAUUUUUUAUUGUGUAUCAAUAGUAUUUUUUUUAGUUAUUAUGAUAAAAAUAAUAAAAAAUAAAUAAAGUUACAAAAAAAAAGACCAAAAUAUCACCAUUCCAGGAUAACUGUCUUGAGAAGAUAAUUUUAAAAUUUUAUUUUUGAAUUUGUUCAGUUCCAGUAAAUUAUAGAAGCUUUCUACUAGUUGGACCUAAAAUGACUUUUGAUCACUGUUAUCAGCUAGAACCAACUUUUGAAGUUCUCUAUUAAAUUAUGUGCAUGAUAUUACAUUUACUGACAGUCUGACACAACUAAGUUUCAUUAAGGUCUAAAUUAUAUGAAUGGACUUCAGUAAAAUUUUUUGGACAUCAGGAAGUUUUUUUGGGCUUCACUAAGUUUGUUCUCUUGACUAGUGAUACAUGGUUGCACCAAGAUCCAGUUUUAGCAAUGUUAGCAUUCUGUCCCCCAAUUUUUUUUUUCCUCUUAUAUUAUUUGUUUUGCGCUAAAUGCAUCUGGAAUAUAUUUGAAUAUUUUGUAGUGUCACGGUCAUAUGCCCGUGGAGAACGUAAAUAUUAUGAUCUCUUUGGCAAUGUAAAACCUGGGGAUGCGGAAUUCAGGAAAGCCUGGGAGAAAGGAAUGGAUGAAGAGUCUUGUAUAUGGACAGGAAGUGAAGAUGAAAGUGAUGAUGAAAAAGGCCAAGGUCCUCUUGAAGAAGAGAUCAGAAGAGUAAAGCAGGAAGCAAAUGAGCAUUCAGACCCCAUUGAUGCUGAUGACAGUGAUGAAUUAAGAAGUGUAUGGUCGGGAAGUGAUGAGGAGAAGACACUUUGGACUGGUAGUGAAGGUGAUGAUGACGAUGAUAUUCCUACAGAAGCCUACCCAAAUGAGAAGAGUGAUGCAUAUCUAGAUAAAUUAUUCGAGUUUGAGGAACCACCUAAGCAUCGAACCAUUUCAGAACUAUUGAAAGCUGAAAAUGAACCAGAGGAGAUGUCCCCAGGAAAGCAAGCUAGGAAAAUUGCAGUUGAGAAUGCUCUGAAACAAUUGAAGAAAGGACCAGAUGGACGGUACACCAAUGUGUGGGAGGUCAUGAGUGAUCUUGACAUCCUAAUAGGAGCAUUUGAAAAUAUUGCGUCAGGGCCAGAAUAUGCGGAGCUGAGACAGGGUGGGCCUAAGAAAUUAAAUAUUCAAUUCUUCAAGGAUAUACAAGCGCGUAUGAGAGAUCCAAAUUACAAGUUUUCACCUGAGUUAAAGUUGAAACCUAAGAGCAAAUUGGUUUCAAGAAAGAAAUGGCAAAAAGCCCAGUCUAGACGGAGGAAAGCGCAGAAGCGCUAGUUGUUACUUUUCAACUUGUUGAGAGAGAGAGAGAGAAAGGAGAAAAACCUAAUUCACAUUCAUUGUAAUCUCUACUUACAAUUGAGAGAUAUAUAUAUACAAGGCUAGGAGUCCUAACUACCAUACAUGUGACCUAUAUUAACAAGGAAAGAUAGUAUACUAUACAUACAUUAUAUUCAACACUCCCCCUCAAGCUGGAGCAUAUACGUCAUAUGCACCAAGCUUGUUACAAAUAUAUUUAAUCCUAGGACCUCUGAGAGAUUUAGUGAAGAUGUCUGCUAGUUGAUCAUUUGAAUUGACAAAACUUGUAGCAACACAUCCUGAUGCAAUCUUCUCUCUAAUGAAAUGACAGUCAACUUCAAUAUGUUUGGUCCUUUCAUGAAAGACUGGAUUGGAUGCAAUAUGUAAUGCGGCCUGGUUAUCACAGAUGAGUUUCAUCUGUUCAUCCUUUCCAAAUCUCAACUCCUGAAGAAGAUGUCUCAACCAUAUGAGUUCACAUGUUGCCAAAGCCAUAGCUCGAUACUCGGCUUCAGCGCUAGAUCUGGCCACUACAUCUUGUUUCUUACUCUUCCAAGAUAUUAGAUUACCUCCAAUAAAAACACAGUACCCUGAAGUGGAACGUCUAUCUGUGGGUGAGCCAGCCCAAUCUGCAUCUGUGUAACCAACAACUUGAGUAUGACCUCUGUUCUCGUACAAUACACCUUGGCCUGGUGUACUUUUGAUAUAUCGAAGAAUACGGAUUACGGCAUCCCAAUGGUUAUCACAUGGUGACUGUAGGAAUUGACUAACAAUACUCACAGGAAAAGAAAUGUCUGGACGAGUAAUGGUGAGAUAGUUCAAUUUACCUACGAGCCGUCGAUAUCUCCCGGGGUCUCCUAAAGGCUCCCCCUGUCCUGGUACAAGUUUGACAUUCGGAUCCAUAGGUGUGUCUACCGGUUUACAGUCUAACAUACCGGUUUCUUCCAGGAUAUCUAAAGCAUACUUCCUUUGGGAAAGGACCACACCAGAACUGGAUUGAGCUAUCUCAAUUCCCAAGAAAUACUUGAGUUUCCCCAAGUCUUUGGUCUGAAAGCGGGUAAAAAGAUGUUGCUUUAGUUUCUGAAUACCAUCCUGAUCACUGCCUGUAAUGACGAUGUCAUCCACAUAAACAACCAGAUAAAUACACUGCCCCAAGGAGUUAUGAUGAUAAAAAACUGAAUGGUCUGCUGUACUGCGAAGCAUGCCAAACUCUUGAACAACAGAACUAAAACGGCUAAACCAUGCUCGAGGAGAUUGUUUCAAGCCAUAUAGAGAGCGGCGUAACCUGCACACUAAACCAGACUCCCCCUGAGCAACAAAACCAGGAGGUUGCUCCAUAUAAACUUCCUCAGCAAGAUCACCAUGAAGGAAGGCAUUUUUAAUAUCCAACUGAUAAAGAGGCCAAGAACACAUAGCAGCCAUGGACAGAAGCAAGCGGACAGAAGCAAUCUUGGCAACAGGGGAGAAUGUGUCACCAUAAUCAGAACCAUAAACUUGAGUAUAGCCUUUAGCAACUAAGCGGGCCUUAAGGCGAUCAACCUGACCAUCAGGACCAACCUUAACUGCAUAGACCCAACGACAACCAACUGUAGAUUUACCAGAGGGUAAAACAACAAGAUCCCAAGUGCCAUUAGAGUGCAGAGCAGCCAUUUCAUCCACCAUUGCCUGUCGCCAGCCUGGAUGGGAAAGAGCUUCAUGGGUGCUCUUUGGAAGAGAAACAGAGGAUAUAGCAGAAACAAAAGCAGAAUAGGGUGAAGAUAAUCGAUGAUAACUCAAAAAAUUGUAAAUAGGAUGAGGAUUACGAGUAGAGCGAGUACCUUUCCGAACAGCAAUGGGUAAGUCAUUAGGAGAAGGCAGAGCCGGGGCAGGUGAAGCCGAAGGGAUAGGAAGUGAGUCAGCAGGUGCCUCAGGAAAAGGGAGAGGAGCAACGACACGAGGGCGACGAUGAUAAACCUGAAGUGGUCGAGGGGGCAUAGCAUCAGGUGGGGAGACAAUGGGAAUGGGCAAGACUUCAGAAACAGGAAGAGACUCAGAAGUGGUGGAAAAGAAUGGUGAGUCCUCAAAGAAGGUGACAUCAGCGGAGAUAAAGUACCGAUGAGUCUCAAGGGAAUAACAACGAUAACCCUUCUGAAGUCUGGAAUAUCCCAAGAAGAGGCACUUCAUGGCUUUGGCGGAAAGCUUGUCCUGUCCAGGAGUGAGAAUAUGAACAAAGCAAGUACAACCAAAGACACGAGGAGGAAGGAAAUAAAGUGGUUGGUCAGGGAAAAGAAGGGAGUGAGGAAUCUGAUCGUGUAAGACAGAGGAGGGCAUACGAUUAAUCAAAUAACAAGCGGUAAGAACAGCGUCCCCCCAAAAACGAAAAGGAACAUGAUUAUGGAGGAGGAGAGUACGAGCUGUCUCAACAAGAUGUCGAUUCUUGCGUUCAGCUACCCCAUUUUGUUGAGGAGUAUGAGCACAAGAAGACUGAUGAAGAAUCCCAUGAUGAGACAUAAACGAAGUAAAUUGGGCUGAAAAAUAUUCCCUGGCAUUGUCACUGCGUAACACACGAAUAGAAAUAUUGAACUGGGUUUGGAUUUCAGUAUAAAAUUUCUGGAAAAUAGAGAAUAACUCAGCUCGAUUUUUCAUUAAGAAUAACCAAGUACAUCGAGAAUAGUCAUCAAUGAAAGUGACAAAAUACUGAAAUCCUAAAGUAGACGCAGUCCGACAAGGACCCCAAACAUCAGUGUGGACAAGCUCAAAAGGAGACUUUGCCCGAUUAUUCAAACGCUUUGGGAACGAGACACGAGUAUGUUUCCCAAGCUGACAUGACUCACACGGAAGCGACGACAAAGUGGAAAAACGAGGAACCAUCUUCUGGAACUUGGAAAGACUAGGGUGGCCCAGACGAUUGUGAAGGAGGAGAGGAGCAUCAGUGGAAAUGCAAACUGCAGGAGAUGAAUCUGAGGUGAGGUGAUAGAGGCCUUGAGACUCACGUCCUAUGCCAAUCGUCUUCCCCGUACUCCGGUCCUGCAAGGUCACAAAUUUAUCAGAAAAGGUAAUAGAGCAAUUAAGAGUACGAGUGAUUUUGCUGAUGGAAAUAAGAUUAAAAGGACAUUCAGGAGUAUAAAGGACAGAAGUGAGAGGUAGAGAAGGCAAAGGAAGGGCCAAACCAAUACCUUUAGCCACAGUUUGAGAACCAUUAGCUAAGGUAACAGUAGGUAAAUCAGAGGUAGUAGUAAUAGAGGAGAAAAGAUCCUUAUUACCAGAUAGGUGAUCAGAUGCUCCAGAAUCUAGAAUCCAGGGUCCAAGAGAAGAUGUGUGGGUAAGGCAGGCAGAGGCAUUACCAGGCUGGGCAACAGAGGCAAUAGAAGCCUGAGAUGUCUGAGAUGCGGAGGAGCUCGGAGGCUGAGGCAGCGGAGAAUCAGAGGACUGGGCCAUAUGGGCAGUGCGAGGAGGUCUUCCAUGUAACUGAUAGCAACGAUCGCGAGUGUGGCCAAGUUUAUUGCAAUAGGUGCAAUGAGGACGUUGGCCUCUACCUCGGGUACCACUGCGUCCUCCUCGAGAGGUAGUUUGAGAAACUAACACAGAAGAAUCUGAAGCGCUAUCAGAUGGCAAAGUCUGAGUGGACGAGAUACGGAGGAGGCGAGCAAACACAUCAUCCAAGGACGGAACUGAUGAACUACCAAGAAUCUGAUCACGAAUAGGCUCAAGAUCUGGAAGGAGGCCGAUAAGAGUAAGGACCAUGAAGAACUUGUCAAGCUGUGUUUGUUGGGCCCCAACAUCAGGAGUAAGAGGCAUCACAGUCAAGAACUGCUCCUUAAGAGAGGCAAUCUGGCCAAUAUAAGUAGAUAGAUCCAAGUCCUGUUGGCUGAGAUGGACAAUAGCAGAAGCCACCUUAUAAAGACGCUGGAUAUCAUUCGUGUAUAAUCCUUUGGCCUGAGUCCAAAAUUUAAAACAAGUUUUAUAGGCCUGAAGAUGAAGAAGAAUUCGGGGAUCAACCGAUUGCCAUAAUACACUACACAACUGUGCAUCUAUCUUCCUCCACUGUACGCGGUCGACCUCAGGGAUAUCUGCCUCCUGUGUAAUCAAGUGAUCCUCAUAUCCUUGACCCAUAAACCAAAGUUCAACAGAGGCAGACCAGGAAAGAUAAUUUUCACUCCCAACUAAUUUCUCCGAAGUAAUCAUAGGAGAUCCAGAUAUGACAGAGGAAAAAAUGGAAGCUUUAGUAGCCAUAUCCACUUAUCUGGAGAAUGAAGUAUGUUUGGAUCGAAGAGAGCCCUAAUACAGCUUCAGAUUGCAGCGUGGCACCACCGAAAAAGGGAGACGGCCUCAGAUCGCGGUGUGGUACCACCAGAAAGGGAGAAGAACACUUCCCAAGGCACGUGCAGGGAUUGGAGUGGAGAAAAAGUGGUCGGAGCUUCGCCGGAAAGACUGUUUGGAGGGCCGACGGAGACAAAAAUCCCCAAAAGAGGUACGUGCAGGGCUCGGAUGGGAGAACCAGGGAGGUGGGAAGGCUGAUCGGCGUCAGGCGAAGCUAGAGGAGGAGGCGCGUCGCCGGAAAAGCUCUCACGCGCCCCCACGCGCCGGCGCGUGAGAUUCAACCGCCGGCCGGAAAAUUGCGCGUGGCCGGCGCGUGGCUGCUCUUUUGGUGCUGGUGCCUUCACAAAAGUUGGAGAUCUCCUCCAGGCGCUCCUUCUGGUAUGGUCGGUGUCGGAAAAAUAGGUCGCCGGGAAAUUUCGCCGGAAAGUUCGCCGGAAAAUUCGCCGGAAAAUUUGCCAGCGGUGAGUGGUUUCUAAUGACGAUCCGACUGACCGGAAAGUAUUGGGAGAUGGGGAAGGUGACCGGAAAGAAACACGGUCACCGGAAGGUUUCCCGGAGUUGAUGACACGGAAAACAGGAAAGAAUUAGGUUUUCUUCCUUGGCUCUGAUACCAUGUUGAGAGAGAGAGAGAGAAAGGAGAAAAACCUAAUUCACAUUCAUUGUAAUCUCUACUUACAAUUGAGAGAUAUAUAUAUACAAGGCUAGGAGUCCUAACUACCAUACAUGUGACCUAUAUUAACAAGGAAAGAUAGUAUACUAUACAUACAUUAUAUUCAACACAACUCUUUGACUUUCCAAAAAUAUACCUGUAUAUUUUCUGACUAGUGGGAUUUUAUAUAUUUCUUGCUAUAUUGUAUAACAUGAUAGAUAAUAUUGGCUUAUAUUGUUAUAGAGACAAUCCUUGACGUAGACAGAUUUUUGGCUUACAACUUUUUGUCCUUG
rnacentral:lncRNA from 1 species